rnacentral:rRNA from 1 species
AGCGAACGCUGGCGGCAGGCUUAACACAUGCAAGUCGAGCGGGCGUAGCAAUACGUCAGCGGCAGACGGGUGAGUAACGCGUGGGAACGUACCUUUUGGUUCGGAACAACACAGGGAAACUUGUGCUAAUACCGGAUAAGCCCUUACGGGGAAAGAUUUAUCGCCGAAAGAUCGGCCCGCGUCUGAUUAGCUAGUUGGUGAGGUAACGGCUCACCAAGGCGACGAUCAGUAGCUGGUCUGAGAGGAUGAUCAGCCACGUUGGGACUGAGACACGGCCCAAACUCCUACGGGAGGCAGCAGUGGGGAAUAUUGGACAAUGGGCGCAAGCCUGGUCCAGCCAUGCCGCGUGAGUGAUAAAGGCCCUAGGGUUGUAAAGCUCUUUUGUGCGGGAAGAUAAUGACGGUACCGCAAGAAUAAGCCCCGGCUAACUUCGUGCCAGCCGCCGCCGUAACAC